UGUUAAAAUUUUCAUCCAAUUGUAUUGUUAAAAGUGGCAUAGCUAACAGAAUAAUUAGACGUGUAUCUCAUGCUAAUGUACAAAAAUAAGUUUUUAAUAGAAGAAAUAAAUAAAAUUUUUAACA
rfam:Gossypium hirsutum cultivar TM-1 chromosome 4, whole genome shotgun sequence